GACGAACGCUGGCGGCGUGCUUAACACAUGCAAGUCGAACGGAAAGGCCUUUUCGGAGGUACUCGAGUGGCGAACGGGUGAGUAACACGUGGGUGAUCUGCCCUGCACUCUGGGAUAAGCCUGGGAAACUGGGUCUAAUACCGGAUAGGACCGCACUUUAGUGUGUGUGGUGGAAAGUUUUUUCGGUGUAGGAUGAGCCCGCGGCCUAUCAGCUUGUUGGUGUGGUAAUGGCCUACCAAGGCGGCGACGGGUAGCCGGACUGAGAGGUUGGUCGGCCACAUUGGGACUGAGAUACGGCCCAGACUCCUACGGGAGGCAGCAGUGGGGAAUAUUGCACAAUGGGCGCAAGCCUGAUGCAGCGACGCCGCGUGGGGGAUGACGGCCUUCGGGUUGUAAACUCCUUUCGCCAGGGACGAAGCGUUUUGUGACGGUACCUGGAGAAGAAGCACCGGCUAACUACGUG
rnacentral:rRNA from 1 species